GGAGUAUAACAUAGAGGCACGAUUAGUUUAUCACAAUUUGUAAUUUUUUAUACUAGAAGUAAUGAUCAUAGAUUUUAAGGCGACACAGUGACAUCAUUGACCUAAAAUCCUGGAUCCGGCCUUUGUUGAUGGGUGUACGUAUCUUAGGUUGUUGUGUAGUGCGUGACAUAACCUCUGCUCGUGCCACUGCAACAUUGAUGUUGAGUGUAUUUGGGACAGACGGGGAGGAUAGGCAGUAUAAUUGCAUAGAAAAUUCGCAUGCACGGGGAGGCCAUAUAUAUAGAGAGAGGGUCGCGGUGGCUGUCCAUACAUCAUCAUCAAAGAUAGGAUUCAGCUAGACAAAUUAAAGAAGC
rnacentral:lncRNA from 1 species